rnacentral:lncRNA from 1 species
UUUUUAUCAUUGUUCAUCGGCUCCCACGUUCUACUUCUAUCUCUCACACACCUAUACACACACACAUUUCUUCACCAACACUCAACAUUUGAGAUGACGAUUCCUUAGCCGGAUCUCACAUCCAUGAUCGAUCGCAACGUCAUCUUCGACGACCGAUUCACGUCUCUUAGUGUUAUUCUCUCGAUUUCUCAUAUGUUCAUCUACAUCUAGAAAGUAAUCGCCAAAUCUAGAGAAUCAAUAAAACGAUCGGUAACCAUUACCUUGACCGUCGGUGAUAGAUCUGCAAGAAGACUCUCCUCAAUGAAAGUAACCUUAUGUUGCCGCCUUUUUCCAUCAACUUCAUGAUGAUCACAUCUCCAGGAUCAACAUCGCUUUGCUCCUACCAUCGGGAUUCAUGCAUCCAAGAAAACGACUUAUACAAUCGUUUUCUCAUUGUCAAUGCAAUCGGUUUCUACAAUCGUUCCCAUGCUGAUAUCUACCACCGAUAUCUUCAAUCAAUUUCUCUCCUCAAAGUUUAUGAUAAUUUCAAACCUGGUAAUUUUUAGGACUCAUUAAUUUACUUAUUUUUUUGGUUCUAUUAAUUCGAUCUUCCAUAUUAUUAUUUAUAAUCUAUUUGUUCAUCAUUAAUUAUAAUAUGGUAAUCAUGUAUGAACUGCAAAAGGCGUAGAUAAAUCAUGAAUUCGUGAUAAGUUGAUUAAAAUCUAUUUGGUGCCGCAUAUUAUAUAUAAUUAUAAAGUCCAAGGUCCUACCAUAAUCCAAAAACUAGUUUGAAUUUCUUGGUACACUAAGAUGGAUUAUUUGAAAAAGUUGUCCUCCAUUUAACCAAAGGCUUGGAUGACAUUUGAGAUUCACAGUCUAUUUUAAUGAGUUAUUGUUCUUGAAUCAUAUCUAAUUCCUCCAUAGAAACCUAGAGGGUUGGUGACAUUACGAUGUUCGAUCGAUAAAAAUCACAUUUAAUUCACAUAUGAAUCACAUGUAAUUCACAUAUUAAUUAUAUGUGAUUCACAUAUAUAAAUCACAAGUUAAUCAUAUAUAAAUUACAUGUGAUACACAUGUAAAUCACAAGUGAAUCACAUAUAUAUUACGUCUAUAUGCACACAUUUUUUUAAUUAAAUCAAGACAUUUGAAGAUUUAAGUUCCAUAAGAAAGAUUUACAUAGACGUAGCGGGUAAAUAAGCAACAAGCAGUGUCAUAACCCCUUUUUAGAUGGCAAAACUAAUUCUUUUAAAAAACAACAUCUAUAGAUCUAGGAUUCAUAACAUUACAUACACACAUGUAUUAUGUGUUAGUGUUCUCCAUUAAUUAUUUAAAUAUUUUUUUUUGUGAGUUUCACAUUUGAAUCUUAAUAGAUACUAUCAAANNNNNNNNNNNNNUAUUAGCAGAUGUGAAUCUUACAUGAUAUAAUCACAUGUUAAUUUUAUAUGAUAUAUACAUAUGUAUUUUUGUCAGUGUUCUUGCAUUAAUCAUUUUUUUUAUUUACUUGUAGAUUUGGAAGAAUUUGUGGAAAAAUAUUAAAGAGGUGAAAAGUGAUAAAUUGAAGAAAAUAUAUAAAUCUUGACAAAAGAAAUUAUAACACAUUGAAUCUUUGUAGCAUUUUUUAUUUUUUAUAUUUUAUUUUGUAUCGAAUAAAAUACAUGUAGUAUUGUGUUUAUAAAUUAGUAAUAAA